rnacentral:rRNA from 1 species
GAUGAACGCUAGCGGCAGGCUUAAUACAUGCAAGUCGAGGGGCAGCAUGAUUGUAGCAAUACAAUUGAUGGCGACCGGCAAACGGGUGCGGAACACGUACACAACCUUCCAACAAGUGGGGGAUAGCCCAGAGAAAUUUGGAUUAAUACCCCGUAACAUAGCGAUGUGGCAUCACAUUGCUAUUAUAGAUUUUUCGCUUGUUGAUGGGUGUGCGGCUGAUUAGAUCGUUGGCGGGGUAACGGCCCACCAAGUCUACGAUCAGUAGCUGAUGGGAAAGCAGGAUCAGCCACACGGGCAAUGAGACACGGGCCCGACUCCUACGGGAGGCAGCAGUAAGGAAUAUUGGACAAUGGACGCAAGUCUGAUCCAGCCAUGCCGCGUGAAGGAUUAAGGUCCUCUGGAUUGUAAACUUCUUUUAUUUGGGACGAAAAAAGAUCAUUCUUGAUCACUUGACGGUACCAGAUGAAUAAGCACCGGCUAACUCCGUGCCAGCAGCCGCCGUAAGAC